CUCUCAUCACAGAUGCCCCAUCAAUUUCUCUUCCUCUGACGCCGCCUCAUCUAGCCUUUCAUCACGAUUUUGGGUUGGAAAUCGAAGCCUCACUCAAGCAAGGCUGCUUGGCGAUUUGAUUCAGGUGACCUUGGAGUUCUUGGAACUGGAAUACCAAUAGGAAAACUUGAUAUGUAUGUUGCUGCAACUGGUAUUAAUUCAGAGUCAUUGGGAGAUCAAGCGGAAUACCAAGCAACACAGCAAGUUAUAUUAUCUUUCAUCAUGUAAAACUUAGCUAGGAAACUUGAAAAUUGAAAUGUAUGAAUGCGAUAAUAAUGUUCCUUAAAUUCAGUAUUUGAUAAAUUGAUGUAUCACAAGGCUUUUGGUACAAA